rnacentral:rRNA from 1 species
UCCGUAGGUGAACCUGCGGAAGGAUCAUUACCGAGUGCAGGUCUGCCCCCGGGCAGGCCUAACCUCCCACCCGUGAAUACCUGACCAACGUUGCUUCGACGGUGCGCCCCCCCCCGGGGGUAGCCGCCGGAGACCACACCGAACCUCCUGUCUUUAGUGUUGUCUGAGCUUGAUAGCAAACCUAUUAAAACUUUCAACAAUGGAUCUCUUGGUUCCGGCAUCGAUGAAGAACGCAGCGAACUGCGAUAAGUAAUGUGAAUUGCAGAAUUCAGUGAAUCAUCGAGUCUUUGAACGCACAUUGCGCCCCCUGGCAUUCCGGGGGGCAUGCCUGUCCGAGCGUCAUUGCUGCCCUUCAAGCCCGGCUUGUGUGUUGGGUCGUCGUCCCCCCGGGGGGACGGGCCCGAAAGGCAGCGGCGGCACCGCGUCCGGUCCUCGAGCGUAUGGGGCUUUGUCACCCGCUCGAUUAGGGCCGGCCGGGCGCCAGCCGGCGUCUCCAACCUUCUAUUUUACCAGGUUGACCUCGGAUCAGGUAGGGAUACCCGCUGAACUUAAGCAUAUCAAUAAGCGGAGGA